rnacentral:rRNA from 1 species
GGUGAGAUUCCUGUACUACAGUAUGACAGAACUGUGGGGACGCAGAAGGAGAGCACUACCUGGAAUGGAAUCCAGGGGCAAGCACAGGAGGGGUACGGCUGGAAAAACCGCCGUGCAACCCAAAGGUGUGACGCAUACCGAACUAAAGUAGGGAAAUGUGUGAGCCGGCCGCCGAGAAAAGCCGCUAUUGUUCGUACUGUACCCGUACCGUAAACCGACACAGGUGGAUGAGGAGAGAAUCCUAAGGCCGACGGAAGAAGCAUUGCUAAGGAACUCGGCAAAAUGACCCUGUAACUUCGGGAGAAAGGGUGCCUCGAAAGAGGCCGCAGAGAAUAGGCCCAAGCAACUGUUUAGCAAAAACACAGGUCUAUGCAAAACCGCAAGGUGAAGUAUAUGGGCUGACGCCUGCCCGGUGCUGGAAGGUUAAGGGGAGAUGUCAGGAGACGAAGCAUCGAACUUAAGCCCCAGUAAACGGCGGCCGUAACUAUAACGGUCCUAAGGUAGCGAAAUUCCUUGUCGGGUAAGUUCCGACCCGCACGAAAGGCGUAAUGAUUUGGGCGCUGUCUCGGCAAUGCAUCCGGUGAAAUUGAAGUGCCAGUGAAGAUGCUGGCUACCCGCGCCAGGACGGAAAGACCCCAUGGAGCUUUACUCCAGCUUGAUACUGGGAUUCGGUAUUGUAUGUACAGGAUAGGUGGGAGACUGAGAAAUGGUGACGCCAGUCGCCAUGGAGCCGCUGUUGGGAUACCACCCUUGCAGUACUGGAUUUCUAACCAGCAGCCGUGAUCCGGCUGGGGGACAAUGUCAGGUGGGGAGUUUGACUGGGGCGGUCGCCUCCGAAAGGGUAUCGGAGGCGCUCAAAGGUUCCCUCAGAAUGGUCGGAAACCAUUCGAAGAGUGCAAAGGCAGAAGGGAGCUUGACUGCGACACCGACGGGUGGGGCAGGUACGAAAGUAGGACUUAGUGAUCCGGUGGUAUUAAGUGGGAAUGCCAUCGCUCAACGGAUAAAAGCUACCCUGGGAUAACAGGCUUAUCACUCCCAAGAGUUCACAUCGACGGAGUGGUUUGGCACCUCGAUGUCGGCUCAUCGCAUCCUGGGGCUGUAGUAGGUCCCAAGGGUUGGGCUGUUCGCCCAUUAAAGGGGUACGCGAGCUGGGUUCAGAACGUCGUGAGACAGUUCGGUCCCUAUCCGGCGUGGGCGUAGGAUAUUUGAGAGGAGCUGACCUUAGUACGAGAGGACCGGGUUGGACUGACCUCUGGUGCACCGGUUGUCAUGCCAAUGGCACAGCCGGGUAGCCAAGUCGGGAAGGGAUAAACGCUGAAGGCAUCUAAGCGUGAAGCCCCCCUCAAGAUGAGAUAUCCCCCGCAUAAGCGGUAAGACCCCUUGAAGACGACGAGGUAGAUAGGGCAGAGGUGGAAGUGCAGUAAUGUAUGGAGCUGACUGCUACUAAUAGGUCGAAGGCUAA